rnacentral:misc_RNA from 1 species
CUCACCCGUCGUACAGGCACUGUAACAGAGUACACGGUCCCAAGAUCAAGAUCAGUAGUGACACUCAGCUGGACUUUAUCCUGUGAGUCUAUCUCCACAAAUUCUGAUAGAGCAUGCACAACGUUUUUUACAAUCUUCCGUUUUGCUUCAUCACUCACUGCACAUCUGUCAGAGAAAAGAAUCAUCUUCAACCGUUGUUUGGCAAUCCUUGCAUUUGAGCUCUUUCUUCGUGCUGGUGAUGGGAAUAUUAUCUUCCAUGCCAGGUUCAAACGUUCAAAGAAGCUCAGGUUUAUGGCAUUUAGGAGAAAGCUUUCGGCCUCAUCACUAAUUGAAGUCGAAGAUAGCUGAUAAUCUC